UACAGAAGGUGCGAGCGUUAUUCGUAAUUACUGGGCGUAAAGCGCACGUAGGCGGAUCGUUAAGUCGGGGGUGAAAUCCUGGAGCUCAACUCCAGAACUGCCUUCGAUACUGGCGAUCUCGAGUCCGGAAGAGGUGAGUGGAACUCCUAGUGUAGAGGUGGAAUUCGUAGAUAUUCGCAAGAACACCAGUGGCGAAGGCGGCUCACUGGCCCGGUACUGACGCUGAGGUGCGAAAGCGUGGGGAGCAAACAGG
rnacentral:rRNA from 1 species